rnacentral:rRNA from 1 species
AGCGAACGCUGGCGGCAGGCCUAACACAUGCCAGUCGAACGAACUCUUCGGAGUUAGUGGCGGACGGGUGAGUAACACGUGGGAACGUGCCUUUAGGUUCGGAAUAACUCAGGGAAACUUGUGCUAAUACCGAAUGUGCCCAUCGGGGGAAAGAUUUAUCGCCUUUAGAGCGGCCCGCGUCUGAUUAGCUAGUUGGUGAGGUAAAGGCUCACCAAGGCGACGAUCAGUAGCUGGUCUGAGAGGAUGAUCAGCCACAUUGGGACUGAGACACGGCCCAAACUCCCACGGGAGGCAGCAGUGGGGAAUCUUGCGCAAUGGGCGAAAGCCUGACGCAGCCAUGCCGCGUGAAUGAUGAAGGUCUUAGGAUUGUAAAAUUCUUUCACCGGGGACGAUAAUGACGGUACCCGGAGAAGAAGCCCCGGCUAACUUCGUG